rnacentral:rRNA from 1 species
UGGGGAAUAUUGGACAAUGGGCGCAAGCCUGAUCCAGCAAUGCCGCGUGUGUGAAGAAGGCCUUCGGGUUGUAAAGCACUUUUAUCAGGAGCGAAACGCUGUCGGCUAAUACCCGGCGGAACUGACGGUACCUGAGGAAUAAGCACCGGCUAACUUCGUGCCAGCAGCCGCGGUAAUACGAAGGGUGCAAGCGUUAAUCGGAAUUACUGGGCGUAAAGCGUGCGUAGGCGGUUUCUUAAGUCUGCUGUGAAAUCCCCGGGCUCAACCUGGGAAUGGCAGUGGAUACUGGGAGGCUAGAGUGUGUCAGAGGGUGGUGGAAUUCCCGGUGUAGCGGUGAAAUGCGUAGAGAUCGGGAGGAACAUCAGUGGCGAAGGCGGCCACCUGGGACAACACUGACGCUGAGGCACGAAAGCGUGGGGAGCAAACAGGAUUAGAUACCCUGGUAGUCCACGCCCUAAACGAUGCGAACUGGAUGUUGGUCUCAACUCGGAGAUCAGUGUCGAAGCUAACGCGUUAAGUUCGCCGCCUGGGGAGUACGGUCGCAAGACUGAAACUCAAAGGAAUUGACGGGGUCAUAACUGUUUCCUG